rnacentral:rRNA from 1 species
GACGAACGCUGGCGGCGUGCCUAAUACAUGCAAGUAGAACGCUGAAGGAGGAGCUUGCUUCUCCGGAUGAGUUGCGAACGGGUGAGUAACGCGUAGGUAACCUGCCUGGUAGCGGGGGAUAACUAUUGGAAACGAUAGCUAAUACCGCAUAAGAGUAAAUGUUGCAUGACAUUUGCUUAAAAGGUGCAAUUGCAUCACUACCAGAUGGACCUGCGUUGUAUUAGCUAGUUGGUGGGGUAACGGCUUACCAAGGCGACGAUACAUAGCCGACCUGAGAGGGUGAUCGGCCACACUGGGACUGAGACACGGCCCAGACUCCUACGGGAGGCAGCAGUAGGGAAUCUUCGGCAAUAGACGGAAGUCUGACCGAGCAACGCCGCGUGAGUGAAGAAGGUUUUCGGAUCGUAAAGCUCUGUUGUAAGAGAAGAACGAGUGUGAGAGUGGAAAGUUCACACUGUGACGGUAUCUUACCAGAAAGGGACGGCUAACUACGUG